ACAAUCCAAGGACAGAGUCAGUCAGUCUCGGCUGGUUGAUGUCUGUUCUUAACCCGAGCUUCGGCUCACAACCCCUUGUGCACUGUUUAUUGUACCCUCUGGUUAGUAUUCUAGUGGAGAUUUUCUCUCUAGGGUGCUGGCUGGAAUUUAACUAUUUUUAUUCAGUAUUUUUUAAUCAUA
rnacentral:misc_RNA from 1 species